rnacentral:misc_RNA from 1 species
UCCGGUUUGUCACCGGCAGUCACCUUAGAGUGCCCAACUAAAUGCUGGCAACUAAGAUCAAGGGUUGCGCUCGUUGCGGGACUUAACCCAACAUUUCACAACACGAGCUGACGACAGCCAUGCAGCACCUGUCACUCGGUUCCCGAAGGCACUCCGCCGUCUCCGGCAGAUUCCGAGGAUGUCAAGGGUAGGUAAGGUUCUUCGCGUUGCAUCGAAUUAAACCACAUGCUCCACCGCUUGUGCGGGCCCCCGUCAAUUCCUUUGAGUUUUAACCUUGCGGCCGUACUCCCCAGGUGGAAGGUGGGGAUGACGUUUU